rnacentral:ncRNA from 5 species
UGAGGUAGUAGAUUGUAUAGUUGUG